CAGGCCUAACACAUGCAAGUCGCACGGGCAGCAAUGUCAGUGGCGGACGGGUGAGUACCGCGUAGGAAUGUGUCCAGAGGUGGGCGACAACCAUGGGAAACUGAGGUUAAUACCGCAUAUGAGCUGAGGCUCAAAGCAGCGAUGCGCCUUUGGAGUAGCGUGCGUCCGAUUAGCUAGUUGGCGGGGUAAAGGCGUACACAAGGCGACGAUCGGUAGCUGGUCUGAGAGGACGACCAGCCACACUGGGACUGAGACACGGCCCAGACUCCUACGGGAGGCAGCAGUGGGGUAUAUUGGACAAUGGGCGCAAGCGUGAUCCAGCAAUGCCGCGUGUGUGAAGAAGGUAUUCGGAUCGUAAAGCACUUUCGAUGGGGACGAUGAUGACGGUACCAGUAGAAGAAGCCCCGGCUAACUUCGUGCCAGCAGCCGCGGUAAU
rnacentral:rRNA from 1 species